rnacentral:rRNA from 1 species
GUGGGGAAUUUUGGACAAUGGGCGCAAGCCUGAUCCAGCAAUGCCGCGUGCAGGAAGAAGGCCUUCGGGUUGUAAACUGCUUUUGUACGGAACGAAACGGUCCUGGUUAAUACCUGGGGCUAAUGACGGUACCGUAAGAAUAAGCACCGGCUAACUACGUGCCAGCAGCCGCGGUAAUACGUAGGGUGCGAGCGGUAAUCGGCAUUACUGGGCGUAAAGCGUGCGCAGGCGGUGCUGUAAGACAGGCGUGAAAGCCCCGGGCUCAACCUGGGAAUUGCGCUUGUGACUGCAGUGCUGGAGUACGGCAGAGGGGGAUGGAAUUCCGCGUGUAGCAGUGAAAUGCGUAGAUAUGCGGAGGAACACCGAUGGCGAAGGCAGUCCCCUGGGCCUGUACUGACGCUCAUGCACGAAAGCGUGGGGAGCAAACAGGAUUAGAAACCCGGGUAGUCC